rnacentral:rRNA from 1 species
CGUAAAGCGAGCGCAGGCGGUUUGAUAAGUCUGAAGUUAAAGGCUGUGGCUUAACCAUAGUACGCUUUGGAAACUGUUUAACUUGAGUGCAAGAGGGGAGAGUGGAAUUCCAUGUGUAGCGGUGAAAUGCGUAGAUAUAUGGAGGAACACCGGUGGCGAAAGCGGCUCUCUGGCUUGUAACUGACGCUGAGGCUCGAAAGCGUGGGGAGCAAACAGGAUUAGA